CAGAGAUGUUCAGGAGGGUGAGGAGUCAAACAGGACAGAGUCAGAGAGAAACAGGAGGGUGAGGAGUCAAACAGGACAGAGUCAGAGAGAAACAGGAGGGUGAGGAGUCAAACAGGACAGAGUCAGAGAGAAACAGGAGGGUGAGGAGUCAAACAGGACAGAGUCAGAGAGAAACAGGAGGGUGAGGAGUCAAACAGGACAGAGUCAGAGAGAAACAGGAGGGUGAGGAGUCACAGGACAGAGUCAGAGAGAAACAGGAGGGUGAGGAGUCACAGGACAGAGUCAGAGAGAAACAGGAGGGUGAGGAGUCAAACAGGACAGAGUCAGAGAGAAACAGGAGGGUGAGGAGUCAAACAGGUAGAAACAGGAGGGUGAGGAGUCACAGGACAGAGUCAGAGAGAAACAGGAGGGUGAGGAGUCAAACAGGUAGAAACAGGAGGGUGAGGAGUCACAGGACAGAGUCAGAGAGAAACAGGAGGGUGAGGAGUCAAACAGGACAGAGUCAGAGAGAAACAGGAGGGUGAGGAGUCAAACAGGACAGAGUCAGAGAGA